rnacentral:rRNA from 1 species
UACAGAGGGGGCAAGCGUUGUUCGGAAUUACUGGGCGUAAAGGGCGCGUAGGCGGUCUGUUAAGUCGAACGUGAAAUCCCUGGGCUCAACCCAGGAACUGCGUCCGAUACUGGCAGGCUUGAAUCCGGGAGAGGGAUGUGGAAUUCCAGGUGUAGCGGUGAAAUGCGUAGAUAUCUGGAGGAACACCGGUGGCGAAGGCGGCAUCCUGGACCGGUAUUGACGCCGAGGCGCGAAAGCCAGGGGAGCAAACGGG